rnacentral:lncRNA from 1 species
GACUCCGUUUUCCAGCCUAAAAGUCAUCUAAGAAGAAGAUAAUCAGUGAUUAAUUAGCCGUAAUUCAUUACCUAUUAUUUAGUUCUUCACGUUUUGAUUAGAAGUCCUACUUUGAGACAUGUUUUUAAUGAUAUUGCAUCUACUAUUUCUGCAGUCAGAGCAAAGCAUAAAAUAAGGGGCUCCUUAUAGGAACAAACAUGAGUUCACAUGCAGCCUCUUUUUUUUUCUUAAAGAACAAUAAAUAAAAAAAGAAGCAAUUGAAAAUGACUAUUAUUCAGACUGGAGGACAUUUAGAGCAAAAUUGAGGAAAUGCUUUUUGUUGUUUUGUUUUCAUCAUUUAACCUGAAUCUAUUAGAAAAAAUGUAAAGAUGCAUAAUGUUUCCACUAUUAUGAAUAAUUCCUGUUGAGGCAGAGCUACUGCCGGCCUCACCUUAUGUUUUUCAGUGCAAAUAUGUCAGACCAAACACAAGGGACUAGUAAUAAAAAUGUCUACAAUGUAGACUUUUUAUAAAUUAACCAUUACCUUAUUAAUAAAUGCUGAGUAUGUUAAAGGCAUCCAUUCAACCAAGUUUGCAUUGGAUUCCACCAUCUAAUGUGAGGCUGGGCACAUUUUCAGUCAGUCUGACACUAAAGGAAAGCUAAUUACUGUUGCAAUAUUUUCUAAUUUUGCUUCCCUUUUCUUUUCAAACUUACUGUGCUUUGGAAAUUGCGUCAACCACCAUUAAUCAAAGUCUGGCUACGAGACAGUCUUUCUGUGUUGGGUACUUCUGACAAAUUGGAUUCUCUCUGGAAUCCACUUCUACGUACCUGGCCAAAAACAUCCUUAACAAAAUCCAUAACAGAGCUAUCCACCAUCUUGCCUGCCUAUUCCACCAGCACGCCACAAGUCCUAAGUAACCUGGGAGAGUAUUUGAAUUGAUCCGCCUUGACACUAUACCUUGGGUGGGUGCUGGCGGUGUUCAUCUGUUCAGUGGAUGCAUAUGCUUUAAAAAAUGAAUGAUAAUAUUGUUUUGUAUAAUAACUUAUGUAUUGAGACUUUAAUUUGAUAAAUAAAAACUAUUCAAAAAAGAUGAUCAGUGUGGGACUUACAUGUUAAAGAUGCAGACCCCAAAACAUUAAUUCAUAUUCUCCAACUUUUUAUUGACUUUGGAUCUUUACAAACAACUUG